GAUGAACGCUGGCGGCGUGCCUAAUACAUGCAAGUCGAGCGAACAGACGAGGAGCUUGCUCCACUGACAUUAGCGGCGGACGGGUGAGUAACACGUGGAGAACCUACCUAUAAGACUGGGAUAACUUCGGGAAACCGGAGCUAAUACCGGAUAAUAUAUUUAACCGCAUGGUUCAAUAGUGAAAGACGGUAUUGCUGUCACUUAUAGAUGGAUCCGCGCCGCAUGAGCUAGUUGGUAAGGUAACGGCUUACAAAGGCGACGAUGCUUAGCCGACCUGAGAGUGUGAUCGGCCACACUGGAACUGAGACACGCUCCAGACUCAUACGGGAGGGAGGAGGAGGGAAUCUUCCGCAAUGGGCGAAAGCCUGACGGAGCAACGGCGCGAGAGUGAUGAAGGUCUGCGGAUUGUAAAACUGUGUUAUUAGGGAAGAACAAAUGUGUAAGUAACUAUGAACGUCUGGACGGAACCUAAUCAGAAAGCCACGGCAAACUACGG
rnacentral:rRNA from 1 species